UUUCCGUAGGUGAACCUGCGGAAGGAUCAUUCAUAAUGAAGUGUUUUAUGGCACUUUUUAAAAAUCCAUAUCCACCUUGUGUGGCAUGUUAGAUCUCGUCAAUCUUGACGAGAUUUUUAUACAUCAACUCAUUCUUUAGCUAAUUUGUCUGAAAAAUAUUAUGAAUACUUAAUUCAAAAUACAACUUUCAACAACGGAUCUCUUGGCUCUC
rnacentral:misc_RNA from 1 species